rnacentral:rRNA from 1 species
GAUGAACGCUGGCGGCGUGCCUAAUACAUGCAAGUCGAGCGAACGGACGAGAAGCUUGCUUCUCUGAUGUUAGCGGCGGACGGGUGAGUAACACGUGGAUAACCUACUUAUAAGACUGGGAUAACUUCGGGAAACCGGAGCUAAUACCGGAUAAUAUUUUGAACCGCAUGGUUCAAAAGUGAAAGACGGUCUUGCUGUCACUUAUAGAUGGAUCCGCGCUGCAUUAGCUAGUUGGUAAGGUAACGGCUUACCAAGGCAACGAUGCAUAGCCGACCUGAGAGGGUGAUCGGCCACACUGGAACUGAGACACGGUCCAGACUGCUACGGGAGGCAGCAGUAGGGAAUCUGCCGCAAUGGGCGAAAGCCUGACGGAGCAACGCCGCGUGAGUGAUGAAGGUCUUCGGAUCGUAAAACUCUGUUAUUAGGGAAGAACAUAUGUGUAAGUAACUGUGCACAUCUUGACGGUACCUAAUCAGAAAGCCACGGCUAACUACGUG